rnacentral:rRNA from 1 species
AUUGAACGCUGGCGGCAUGCUUUACACAUGCAAGUCGAACGGCAGCGCGGGCUUCGGCCUGGCGGCGAGUGGCGAACGGGUGAGUAAUGCAUCGGAACGUGCCCAGUAGUGGGGGAUAGCCCGGCGAAAGCCGGAUUAAUACCGCAUACGACCUGAGGGUGAAAGCGGGGGACCGAAAGGCCUCGCGCUAUUGGAGCGGCCGAUGUCGGAUUACCUAGUUGGUGGGGUAAAGGCUUACCAAGGCGACGAUCCGUAGCUGGUCUGAGAGGACGACCAGGCACAGUGGGACUGAGACACGGCCCAGAGUCCUACGGGAGGCAGCAGUGGGGAAUUGUGGACAAUGGGGGCAACCCUGAUCCAGCCAUGCCGCGUGCGGGAAGAAGGCCUUCGGGUUGUAAACCGCUUUUGUUGGGGAAGAAAUCCUCUGGGCUAAUACCCCGGGGGGAUGACGGUACCGGAAGAAUAAGCACCGGCUAACUACGUG